AUACUUACCUGGCAGGGAAGAUACCAUGAUCAUGAAGGUGGUUUUCUCAGAGAGAGGCUUAUCCAUUGCACUCCGGAUAUGCUGACCCCUGUGAUUUCCCCAAAUGUGGGAAACUCGACUGAUAAUUUGCAGUAGUGGGAGUCUGCAUUCUCACUCUCCCC
ensembl:snRNA U1 U1 spliceosomal RNA